GGUUGUUAUUUAAAUUUUUUUUUAAUAAAAAUAAUUUUAUUUUGUGAGUUGUUAUAUUAAAUUUAUUUUAAAUUAAAUAAUUAUGAAAAUUUAUAUUUUUAUAGAUUAAUAAUUGAAAUAAUUGAAAAUAAUUUAAUUUUAAAGAAAAUUUUAUUUUUUGUACCUUGUGUAUCAGGGUUUAUUAAAAAAAUAAUUUAUAAAAAAAAACAUUUCUCGAAUUUGAGGGAUUUAAAAAAUUAAUUAAUUUAUUGUAUCAAAAAUAUAAUUUAUAGUUUUUUAGUAAUGAAACGUUAGUCGUUCUCUAAAAUAUCUAGUUUUUUAAGAAAUAAAUUUAAUUUAUAAAUUUUAUAUAAAAUUAAAUUUUUAAUUAUUUAAUUUUAAUUUUAAUUUUAAUUUUUUUAGGGAUAAGCUUAUAAAAAUAAUAUAAUAAAUCUAUAAAAUUAAAAAAAAUAUAAGCUUAAAAAUAGUUAUUAAUUAAAAUUUUGUAAUAAUUUAUCAAAUAAAUAAUUAAUAUUUAAUUAGGUUUUUAUUUUUUAUUAAAAUAAAUGAUUAAAUUUUAUAAUUAAAAUAAUAAUGAUAAAAUUAGUAUAAUUUAUUUUAUAAAUAUAAUUAUUUUGUAAUGUUUUUUUUAAUAAUUCGGCAAAUAUAAUUUUCACCUGUUUAUCAAAAACAUGUCUUUUAGAUUUUAAUUAAAGUCUGACCUGCCCAUUGAAAUAAAUUUAAAAGGCUGCAGUAUUUUGACUGUACAAAGGUAGCAUAAUCAUUAGUUUUUUAAUUGAAAACUUGUAUGAAUGGUUUAAUGAAAAAUUAACUUUUUUAAAUAAAAAAUUGAAUUUUACUUUUUAGUUAAAAGGCUAAAAUACUUUUAAAAGACGAGAAGACCCUAUAGAUUUUUAUAAACAUAAUUAUUAUAAACUUUUAGGUUAAUUUUUAUUUAUAAAUAAUAAAUUUAUUUUGUUGGGGUGACAAUAAAAUUUGAUUAACUUUUAUAAAAAUUUACAAUUAUAAUUGAUAAUAUGAUCCAUUAUUACUGAUUAAAAAAUUAAAUUACCUUAGGGAUAACAGCGUAAUUUUUUUUUAAGUUCUUAUUAAUAAAAAAUUUUGCGACCUCGAUGUUGGAUUAAGAUUAAAUUUUAGGUGCAGCAGCUUAAAUUUUGAGUCUGUUCGACUAUUAAAUUCUUACAUGAUCUGAGUUCAAACCGGUGUAAGCCAGGUUGGUUUCUAUCUUUAAAUUAAUUUUUAUAUUUUAGUACGAAAGGAUUAAAUAUAAUAUAAAUUUAUAAAUUUAAUUUUAUUAAUGAAUUAUUAAAUAAUAAUUUUAAGUUUUUUAUUUAUUAGUUUUAAAUUAGAUAAUUUAAUAU
rnacentral:rRNA from 1 species